rnacentral:rRNA from 1 species
AUUGAACGCUGGCGGCAUGCCUUACACUUGCAAGUCGAACGGCAGCACGGGUGCUUGCACCUGGUGGCGAGUGGCGAACGGGUGAGUAAUACAUCGGAACGUACCUUAUCGUGGGGGAUAACGCAGAGAAAGCUGUGCUAAUACCGCAUCCGCCCUGAGGGGGCAAGCGGGGGAUCGCAAGACCUCGCGCGAUUAGAGCGGCCAAUGCCUGAUUAGCUUGUUGGUGGAGUAAAAGACCACCAAGGCGACGAUCAGUAGCUGGUCUGAGAGUACGAUCAGCCACACUGGAACUGAGACACGGCCCAGACUCCUACGGGAGGCAGCAGUGGGGAAUUUUGGACAAUGGGGGCAACCCUGAUCCAGCAAUGCCGCGUGAGUGAAGAAGGCCUUCGGGUUGUAAAGCUCUUUUGUCAGGGAAGAAACACCGGCUCUAACACAGUCCGGGAAUGACGGUACCUGAAGAAUAAGCACCGGCUAACUACGUGCCAGCAGCCGCCGUAA